AGGACACAUAUUUUGCUCGGUGGCUACUUGCUCAUAUUCGAGAUACCCAUAACGAAGUUGACGACCUCAUAAGAAAGUUGGCUCAUGGCCCCAGUCGACGUGUUUCUUGCUAUUAAGGGUACUUUGUGAAUGGAUUCAAAUUCGACACUUUGGAGUACGAGCAUUCUAAAGCAACAUCAAAUUAUGGAUGGUGACUAGAGGACGAGCCGACGGAUGUGGGCGAGGGCGGGGUACAAGUUUGCAACUUCGAGAUGAGAACGAGUAGUUAGUGGGAGAUCACUUAUCACAACCUAAAGAUAAUCCAAGUUCUAAUCCUAGUGAAGAGGUGUGUGGACAAAGUAUCACAUCUCGUAUUCUUCCAAGAGGUUUGAACAUUGAAACGCAAGUUGGUGAAACAAUACCUUCAAGAUCUGAAAAUGAACAAAAUACAGGACAAAGUGAAGGUAUUAUAUCACAUGGACGUCGAUAGGAACCCAAUAAUGGAGCUCAGAUCCCAGAUCAUCCAAGUAAAAGGACAAAAGUGACAGUGGUGAACAAUCGAUAAUUUCAAAGCUUCUAAAAUUGAGCUUAAUAUAUUCAUAAAUAAUGUUAGCUCGAUUUCUUAAUUUUAUAUAUUUUUUAAACUUAUUCUGUCAAAAUAAAUUUAUUGAAAGUGGUGUUACAUGGAACCUCACAA